rnacentral:lncRNA from 1 species
GGGCAUCUCACCAAGCUGUUGCACCUCAUAGCAUCUCAGCAUCUCGCCUCCUCCGCACACCUUCGCUGAAACUUGAGAGGACUCGCUACUCCUAGAUCAUCUAAGUUACAUGCACGACUCAAAACAAAUAUGCAGAUACAAAAUAUCAAGAUUAGUGCUAACAUUCACCCCCUAAUCUUGAUAUCAUCUUCUUCGAUGCGGAUCACCCGCAGCACCUUGCCGUGGACGACACCAUCGCAGCGCCGAUCACCACGCACCAUAUUGUCGUAGACGACGCCGUCGCAGCGCCAGUCACCAUCAUCAUCUUCUUGCGGCAUCGCACCGCAACCGGCCACUCGCCGCCACCGACGCCGUCGCAGCGCUGGUUACCAUGGACCAUCUUGUCGUGGAUGACGUCCUCGCGACGCCGAUCCUCAUGACGGCUUCGCGCCGCCGUACCUCCCAACGGCGUCACACCGUCGUCUUCUUGUGGCAGCUUCACACCGCCAUCUCCAUCUUGCGGCAUCGCACCGCAACCGGUCGCCCACGGCAUCGCACCGUCUCCGGCCUCCACCUCGCACCGCCGUCCCCCACCUCACAUGGAGUCCGCCACGGUGCCACCACCGCCUCGGAUCGACAAGGCUCUGAUACCAAUUGUUGGCGCCGCCUCCUCGCAGUGCCACUUCUUCUUCUACCUUGAGCUGGCUCUCACAGCUCUCUUGUGGUUUCUCUCUAUCUUCUUCUCUUGUACCUUCUCUCAAGAACACACACACACACGCAUGGACCAAGGAGGAGCACGAAAGCUUUGCCCAGGGUCUCUUCUCCUUGGCGAACACACAUGCUACAUAUUUUCUGCUGGACCUCUCGGCUCCUCUUUCAUUAACUCAGUACAUAUAUACACAAGGACCCAUGCACAGCCCAGCCACCAUGCUCGGCCACUAACCAUGAUCUCACGCAAUAGUCCACUAACCACUAACUCCACGCACGCACUACACCGGCCAUCACACUUGACUCAGCCAACACUUGCACAUGCACUAACUAACUGAUGCAUGAACCUUGCUACUAACGACUAACCUGGUCUUCCUCUCCUAGAAUCACUCUAGGCAUACGAUCCGGCCAAAGCAUGCAUGCAAACAUAGAUAGCUGACCGAAUCACUCGGUUGGUCCUCAUGCAUCUCCUUUCGCUCCAGCUUCCGCAUGCAGCACCACAUCACACGGUUACGGGCAUCUCACCAAGCUGUUGCACCUCAUAGCAUCUCAGCAUCUCGCCUCCUCCGCACACCUUCGUUGAAACUUGAGAGGACUCGCUACUCCUAGAUCAUCUAAGUUACAUGCACGACUCAAAACAAAUAUGCAGAUACAAAAUAUCAAGAUUAGUGCUAACAUUCACCCCCUAAUCUUGAUAUCAUCUUCUUCGAUGCGGAUCACCCGCAGCACCUUGCCGUGGACGACACCAUCGCAGCGCCGAUCACCACGCACCAUAUUGUCGUAGACGACGCCGUGGCAGCGCCAGUCACCAUCAUCAUCUUCUUGCGGCAUCGCACCGCAACCGGCCACUCGCCGCCACCGACGCCGUCGCAGCGCUGGUUACCAUGGACCAUCUUGUCGUGGAUGACGUCCUCGCGACGCCGAUCCUCAUGACGGCUUCGCGCCGCCGUACCUCCCAACGGCGUCACACCGUCGUCUUCUUGUGGCAGCUUCACACCGCCAUCUCCAUCUUGCGGCAUCGCACCGCAACCGGUCGCCCACGGCAUCGCACCGUCUCCGGCCUCCACCUCGCACCACCGUCCCCCACCUCACAUGGAGUCCGCCACGGUGCCACCACCGUCUCGGAUCGACAAGGCUCUGAUACCAAUUGUUGGCGCCGCCUCCUCGCAGUGCCACUUCUUCUUCUACCUUGAGCUGGCUCUCACAGCUCUCUUGUGGUUUCUCUCUAUCUUCUUCUCUUGUACCUUCUCUCAAGAACACACACACACACGCAUGGAUCAAGGAGGAGCACGAAAGCUUUGCCCAGGGUCUCUUCUCCUUGGCGAACACACAUGCUACAUAUUUUCUGCUGGACCU